rnacentral:rRNA from 1 species
GACGAACGCUGGCGGCGUGCUUAACACAUGCAAGUCGAACGAAAAUACCAAGCUUGCUUGGUUGAUUAGUGGCGAACGGGUGAGUAACACGUGAGUAACCUGCCCCUUACUUUCCUGGAUAACUGCUCGAAAGGGUAGCUAAUACGGGAUAUUCUGACUAGCCUGCAUGGGUUGGUUUGGAAAGGUUUUUUCUGGUAAGGGAUGGGCUCGCGGCCUAUCAGCUUGUUGGUGGGGUGAUGGCCUACCAAGGCUUUGACGGGUAGCCGGCCUGAGAGGGUGGACGGUCACACUGGGACUGAGAUACGGCCCAGACUCCUACGGGAGGCAGCAGUGGGGAAUAUUGCACAAUGGGCGCAAGCCUGAUGCAGCGACGCCGCGUGAGGGAUGAAGGCCUUCGGGUUGUAAACCUCUUUCGUCAGGGAACAAGGCACUGCUUUUUUGGUGGUGUUGAGGGUACCUGGAUAAGAAGCGCCGGCUAACUACGUGCCAGCAGCCGCGGUAAUACGUAGGGCGCAAGCGUUGUCCGGAAUUAUUGGGCGUAAAGAGCUCGUAGGCGGCUGGUCGCGUCUGUCGUGAAAACUUCCGGCUCAACCGGGGGCUUGCGGUGGGUACGGGCCGGCUAGAGUGCGGUAGGGGUAACUGGAACUCCUGGUGUAGCGGUGGAAUGCGCAGAUAUCAGGAAGAACACCGAUGGCGAAGGCAGGUUACUGGGCCGUUACUGACGCUGAGGAGCGAAAGCGUGGGGAGCGAACAGG